rnacentral:rRNA from 1 species
UACAGAGGUCUCAAGCGUUGUUCGGAUUCAUUGGGCGUAAAGGGUGCGUGGGCGGCGUGGUAAGUCGGAUGUGAAAUCUCGGAGCUUAACUCCGAAACUGCAUUCGAUACUGCCGUGCUUGAGGACUGGAGAGGAGACUGGAAUUUACGGUGUAGCGGUGAAAUGCGUAGAUAUCGUAAGGAAGACCAGUGGCGAAGGCGGGUCUCUGGACAGUUCCUGACGCUGAGGCACGAAGGCCAGGGGAGCAAACGGG